AUUGAACGCUGGCGGCAGGCCUAACACAUGCAAGUCGAGCGGGGUUUUCGGACCUAGCGGCGGACGGGUGAGUAAUGCGUAGGAAGCUACCCGAUAGAGGGGGAUACCAGUUGGAAACGACUGUUAAUACCGCAUAAUGUCUACGGACCAAAGUGUGGGACCUUCGGGCCACACGCUAUCGGAUGCGCCUACGUGGGAUUAGCUAGUUGGUGGGGUAAUGGCUCACCAAGGCGACGAUCCCUAGCUGGUUUGAGAGGAUGAUCAGCCACACUGGAACUGAGACACGGUCCAGACUCCUACGGGAGGCAGCAGUGGGGAAUAUUGGACAAUGGGCGCAAGCCUGAUCCAGCCAUGCCGCGUGUGUGAAGAAGGCCUUCGGGUUGUAAAGCACUUUCAGUAGGGAGGAAGCGUUGUGUGUUAAUAGUACACAGCGUUGACGUUACCCACAGAAGAAGCACCGGCUAACUCUGUGCCAGCCGCCGCAGUAACAC
rnacentral:rRNA from 1 species